GAGAGAGAGAGAGAGAGAGAACUGGUUGAUUGUGGUGCUGGAGUUUAUAAACUUCAACCUAGGAUGUGAUCACAAAAAAAGUGUCUGAUUUUGGUGAAGUCUGGUUAUUCCCUGGUUGCCACUUAUGUUUCAACCUAGUGAGUUGGUGGGAGUAGCUUCUGCUUUCAAUCUACUUGCAAAAUGUGUAAGAUCCAAGCGAUGAUGCUUGGGUUGUAGUUUUGGGUUUGAGAGUUUGUCAAAUUUGAUGCUAUUAGGGAGAUAGAGGAGGGAGCUAACCAAUCUCAUGGCUGGGAUCAGGUCGAAGAGGUGGUGUUUUAUAUUGCUGGGAGCGAUUUUGAGUAGUUUUCUUCUUGUAGCUUCAAUAUGUGUUCCAGCAGAGACAAGAUUGAAACAAAAAGGUUCAAGUUAUAAGACUGAAGAUGUUGAGUUCCACCAUGUAAUGCGAGCUUUGAAUUUCUUUUACCAAAAGGGUCGAGUGGGUUAUAAACAUGUUUGGCCGGUAAAUUCAGCAUUUCAUACCUUUUAUUUUUGUAUAAGUUUGUCAGUUUUUAUGCGAUUCUUUAUUGAAUAUAAUGUUUUAUUUGCCAUUUAGAAGAACAUAAUUGUUUUAAGGUUUAGACAGCAUUUCUAGACCUACUAACAGCAGGGGCCAUGGAAAUAGUUUCCUUUUAAUUAAUUUCUUUGGAGGCAUUUGCAAGUGCAAAAUUUCACAUCACAUCUAGAACAGUAGAUUUCAAUUUUAUGCAUUUGGUGUGUGAAAUGGAUUUCUGGUGGGGAUAAUUGUUGCCUGUAUGUCAUUGAAUUACCAUCUCUUGAUAGUUCCAUUACAUCAGGAACUGUACAUGAAAUGAUAUUGCUAUUCUUCUUUUUUUUAUGAUCUUUCAAAAGUUAUUUUUUACUCAACUAAGGGGAAAAAAACAGUGCAUGAAGUGAUAAAAUGAUUCUCUAAAGCUUCAAGGAAACGAUUUCUGUGGAAUGUCCCUUUUCAUGUUGCUUUCAUUAGUUUCUAUUUUAUUGCAUCUCAGGCACAUGUUAGAAGAAAGAGUAGUUAGAAAAGAGAGAGAGAGAGAGAGA
rnacentral:misc_RNA from 1 species